CUGCAAAUGGCCUCAGAAGACAAACUUGUGCAGCUCUCAGCCCUCGAGCUCCGGAGGGCCCAGUAUCGGGCUGCAUAAGUUUCACGAUCAGCAGCAGCAGUCUGGGCUGGAUGAUAGGCGACAGCAAGGGCACAUCACAUCAUGGAGGCUAUUCCCACUCUUCAGUCGUGUAUGCCCCUAAAAGAAUGUGGCAUUCGUCACAUCGAUACUGCAAAAAGAUAUGGCUGCGAAUCGUAUCUGAAGGAAGCAGUUAGAGAAAGUGGGGUAAAUCGUGAGAGCCUCUGGAUAACAACAAAACUUUGGCCUGGGGAUUAUGGCUAUGGAACAACCAAAGCGGCAUGUUUGGAAUCCUGCAAAAACCUCGACGUGGAUUAUAUUGAUCUUUACCUCAUGCAUUGGCCUGAUGGGAAUGUCCCGGGAAAAAACUAAUCGUGAACUUCGAGCUGAAACGUGGCAAGCAAUAGAAGAAUUAUAUGAUGAAGGGCUAUGUCGAUCCAUAGGAGUGAGCAAUUUCCUCAUUUCUCAUUUAGAGCAGCUGAAGGAAGACUGUGACAUCAUCCCACAUGUCAAUCAGGUUGAAUAUCAUCCUUUCCAGAAGCCCCAGGAGCUGGUGGACUACUGCAGGAGCCAAGGAAUAGUUUUUGAAGGAUACUGCCCUCUGGCUAAAGGCUUGGCUUUGUUACACCCCGAUAUCAUCAAAAAGGCAGAGAAAUAUAACUGCACACCUGCUCAAAUCUGUAUACGCUGGAGCAUACAAAAUGGAAUUGUGACCAUUCCAAAAUCUACAAAGAAGGAAAGGAUUUGGGAAAACUGCCAGUUUCAUUCCACUGAACUGCUAUCUUCAAGGAACAAAGGAAGUCUACUAACUUCACUGCACCAUAUACCUCAUAGGUAUUCCAUUUUUCCCUUGCGGAGGAUGAUGUUGCAUGUCUAAAUGGAAUGCAUGAUGGCCGGCAUGUGUCUUGGGAUCCUACAAAUAUCGAAUAAUGUCUUCAAUUUUUCACUCAGUGAAGAAGAUAUGACAUUCCUAAACUCACUUAAGGAGAACAACAAGCUGAUUACACUGAAAUUCCCUUUAUGGAAGGAUCAUUAAUCUCAAUCAGACCCUACUACUGCCAAGGAUUCCUCCAGCAAACAUGUUCAAUGAAUGCUCUUAAGACACUUAUUUUGACUAUAACUAUAGUUAGUGAAGAUAGUUUUUUUUAUACCACUUGAUUAGUUAACCUCUUUGGAUAGAAAGCUACUCCAGGAAAAUCUUAAGUCAGGUACCUUACUCAAAUGGAAGGUAACUCCUACUGUUGAACUUAAUAUGUGCACUAAUCCACAUUUAUUGCACUGGGAAUUGAAGUCCAUUCUACUCUGAGCAUUCAAUGACAUAUUAAUUUAUUUAAUAUCUCAGUAACUCUACAAGACACUUGGUCCCAUAAGCAGAUGCAAAUCAGAAGACACUUGCUGUGAUUUUCCCUAUCUGUGGGAAUAUAUAUUUAAGAAAUUAAAGAUGAAAUAAAAAGUGUCAAUUAUUUUAAACUUUUAAUCUGUGAUUUUGAGAGGUUCAAAGAUUAUUGUGCAUUUAGAUUUGGAUUUUAUUUUGCUAAUCUUCCUGGUCUGUUACUCCUUAUAUAACUGUUUCUUUGAUUGAUUAGUAUUCCAGAAACUCACCUAUGCAGCAGUACAGAUUAUUUAAAACCAUUUGUUACUAUUUCUUUUUUUCCACCAUAAGAAAGAGAUGUCUUUUUUUUAAAAAACAGAGUAAUUCCUAAUUAUUUUUUCCCAAACAAACCAAUUGGAUCAAAACCAGAGUGCCUGUAACAAAAAUAUUAUAAUCCUGGAUUAAUUAAUUGAAUUAUUAGUGUUUAUAUUUAAUUAAAAUGUUUACAUUUUUACCAAAUAAUAUCAUAGUUGCAUUUAUUCUCUGAAGGAAAUCUACUGAGGGAUUUGACAACCAACAAGGCAUCCAAAAGAAUAAAACAUCGAUGGGAGUUUAGCUUGAAUUGUUUUGCUGCUACUGAAAAUUCAUUAAAAAUUUUCACUAAUGCCUUUGCAUAAGAUAUAUCACUGUAUAAACAUGAAAACUGACUACUAAUUUAAAGUACAGAUGUUUUGCAUUAAGCUUGAAUUUUCCAGAUUUUUAACAGCCAAUUCAAAGAUAGACAGUACAGUCCAACAGCACAGUGUUAUUCCAAGCAACAUCUGGAAUGACAAACUACCUCUAUAUUUCUAGAAUAAUUUUUUAUAUAAUAAAUCUUGUGGUGGUUUCUUUGUUGGCAGCCCCUUCUGUAACAGAAUAAGCAUGCUGUACCUGAUCAUAAUAAAUUGUGAGGGCAAUUUCUACAUGAUCCUUAUACUGGAAUUCUGCUCUCAAGUUCUGUUUAACUCUUGUGUAACUGUUCUGCUUUGGGCAAUCCAAACACUAAGACAGCAAAAGAGCUGCAGUCAGAUGAUGCCUAGUAAAUAGGAAGUGAACAGUCACUGGCAUGUGGCCCAGAGGUUGGUGCCUUAUUGAUCACCAAUCAAGUGCUGCUUCCCACAAUUGUUCAAAUUCUGCAAAUCACUGUUUUGCAGCAAUGUGACACAACAAUUUGUGAAAAAAAGAGCAAAAGCAAAAAAAAACAAGCUACCUCUUUUCACCAGGUUCAUCAGCAUAGAAAUAAAAAAAAGAUUCAUUGGUUUUUAGGUGGACUUAUUCAACAGUUGAGUGCCGACAUUUUAUCCUUGCUUGACCUUUCAUCUAUAAAUGAAUGGCAUGCAUUUUCAACUGUGAUAAAUAUAAAUGUAUUAGAAAGUAAAGAGCUACUGCAUGUAUAACAUUCAUUUUCAAAGCCUGAAACUGAAGAAUCCACAACUAGCGGUUUGAAAUGAGCCCCAGUCUGCCAGGUGUGUCAGAAUAGUAUUCAUGCAACAUGCAUCUGUGCUCAGUUAAAGCCAUAUUCCACACACACUCUUUUAUAUUUCAGAAUUAAGUAUGAUAAUCAUAGUGAUAACUACUGAACAAUGUACUCUAUAGUGCCAGAAUUCAGUACACAGUGUAGUGAAUAAAAAUUUGCUGAUGUGAUACAGAUCUUAUUCUGUAGUUCAGGUUAUGACGUGGUGUUGGGUGUAGCAUAAGGAGCUUUACUGUGCUUCCACACCCCUGCUAUACCUGACUUGAUGCGAUUCAUAUGAUAUGUAAGACUGGCAUUACUUUGUAUCAAACCAAUACUUUAACUGACAUGCAAAUUUUUAACAAGACAAAAAUAAACAUUUCUA